UAGUCAAUGCUCGCAAGAGUGAACUAGCUAACUGAAAUCAUAGAAUUUCUUCAAAUUCGUGAUGUCGUAAGGGAAAAUAAUGAUAGUACCUUACUAUGAGUGUCGUCCAAAUCUGGUGCCAGAAGACUCGGUAAGACCAGAGACGCAAACGUUAAUCAUCAUAAUCAGGCGUAAAGGGUUUGUAGGCAGCUACACAAAAUUAUUUUUAAAAAAAAUAAAAAAUAAUUAAAUAGGUAGCUAGAAUCUAAAAGAGGUUAUAGUGUAUAACGCCUAGAGGAGGGCUAAUAUCCAUAGAUCCUAGGCAGAAUACUAAAGGCGAAGGCCACUCUCCACUAAAGAUUGACGCUGAGAAACGAAGGUUAGGCUAGGAAAAAGGAUUAGAUACCCUGUUACCCCUUUCUGUAAACGAUGAAUGGUAGUUUUUAAUAAUAAAAUUAGAGACGAAGUUAACACAAUAACCAUUCCGCCUUGUGAGUACUACUGCAAAGUAGAAAACAAAAAAAUUAGUCGGUCUCGAAGCAAACGGAGUGAAGCAUGUUAUUUAAU
rnacentral:rRNA from 1 species